CGUACACUCCUGCGGGAGGCAGCAGUGGGGAAUAUUGGACAAUGGGCGAAAGCCUGAUCCAGCAAUGCCGCGUGAGUGAUGAAGGCCUUAGGGUUGUAAAGCUCUUUUACCCGGGAUGAUAAUGACAGUACCGGGAGAAUAAGCCCCGGCUAACUCCGUGCCAGCAGCCGCGGUAAUACGGAGGGGGCUAGCGUUGUUCGGAAUUACUGGGCGUAAAGCGCGCGUAGGCGGCUUUGUAAGUUAGAGGUGAAAGCCCGGAGCUCAACUUCGGAAUUGCCUUUAAGACUGCAUCGCUAGAAUCGUGGAGAGGUGAGUGGAAUUCCGAGUGUAGAGGUGAAAUUCGUAGAUAUUCGGAAGAACACCAGUGGCGAAGGCGACUCACUGGACACGUAUUGACGCUGAGGUGCGAAAGCGUGGGGAGCAAACAGGAUUAGAUACCCUUGUAGUCCCAU
rnacentral:rRNA from 1 species